UGAUAGCUAUGAAGCUUGAGGUUGUUACCCCGUAAAUGGGGUAAGUUUUCAGUGGAGCGAAUGUCAAGUCUAGAAACUGGCGACAA
rnacentral:ncRNA from 1 species